rnacentral:misc_RNA from 1 species
UCCCAAAUAACGAAAAUUAAUAAUUGGAAUCAAAAUAAUUAUUGCGUUUGGAUUCAUAAAUUUUAAUCCGUUGUUACAAUUGUAAACUCAAUAUUAUUAAACUUAAGCUCGUUCGUAUCAAGGUUCAGGUUUAACGUUGCCAAAGACAGAGAUGUUUCAUGCAGCUAUGCAUCCAAGGAUGAUGUUUUGUUGGGCUCGUUCUGAUUAAGCAUCUUCUUUCAAGAUGAAGGUGACUUGCGGGUGACAAGAAGAAUAAUAUAUCGCAGAACAAAUCCAUUAAGAAUUCCACUCAAAAGCAGCAAAAAAGCGAAGUACAAAGAUUUUCCUAAAAGUUCAUUGAGGUUUCACAGAGGCCGCAAUAGGUGGCCGACAACAACAAAUUGCAGGGGAUCAAAUGAAUUAGACCAUGUAUGUCAUCCCAACUUGCAGGAUAUUCAUGUGAGGUACUCGCAUAGUGGCUGCGCCACCUCUACAAUUCCUCCUCAAGAAUGAAUAGAAGUAGUUAAUAACCAAUUUCUUGAGAAAAAAGGAAUUUUUCUUUGCUCUUACAUCCCCAUGAGCGAGCAGAUAAGUAAAUCCUGAGUCUUUUGCUUCUUUAAGAGCUGCAAGCUCAUAUUCUAGACUUGGGUCUUCCUCUGAUGACAUGACACUAGAAGGCAAUGCUGAGGAUGCUUCUUCCGAAGCAGAAGUCCCAGGUUCUCCUGAUCUUUGAUCAUGCAUCAAAGGAAUCCUUAGGUCCUCAGUCCCGUCACCAGCUGGGGCCCCAGAAUCCUUUGACGUCACUGAAACACUAUCCAUGUCCAACUCGUUCAAAUUGCUCUCCAAGGCAAGAUCCUGAGCCUCUCUUCGCAAAAACUUUUCAAGGCUUUCGACCAAAAGUUGCUCAAACGCAUGGUGAUCUUCCUUCCUGACAUCUUUGUAACCAUACCGGGCAACACAGCGGAACAUAUGGUAGUCUUUUGGGCAAACUCUUCGGAAAAGAAACCUCUCCUCUUGAGGAACCACCGGAACAGGGACAUACUUGAUGCAAACAAAUACUAUAGUAGAGUGGAUUGCUGGAAGACUUAGUAGAUACUGCCCCAAUAUCGAGGGAAUACCAUAGACAAGCUCAUUGUACAACAAUCCGAUUCCAGGAACUCUAACGGUCCCCAGGGUGGAACCAAGCUCAAGCAUGAAAUCCAUGGAAAUCUUUUCCCUUACCUCACUCUGGUAUUUCAACACACUCCCAUAGUUCCAAAUGUACAUCACAGAAAGGAAACAACUGGCAAAUACAAGUGGAAGCCAUCCACCCUCUUUGAUUUUUGAUAGAACCGCAGACAUGUAAAUGAGUUCUACUGACCCAAAAACAAGUGGGAAACAUAAAGCCAGAAACAAAUUAGUCUGCCAGAUCAGAAGCAUUACAAGUGUCACUAAUGUAGUACUCACAAUCAUCACACCGACCUCAGCUAUGCCAUAUGCAUUGGCGAUAUCCGUGGUGCUCCGAAAGAUUGAAACCACAACUAUGCACAUAAUCAUUAAAAAGUAAUUUAUAACAGGGAUGUAAAUUUGACCCAUCAGCCUCCUUGAGGUGUGAACUAUCUUCAGCCUUGGGAAGCAUCCAAGAGCCAUAGAUUGCUUAACACAUGAAAAUGUAGCAGAAAUCAUUGCUUGGCUGGCAAUCAUGGCAGCAAGGGUAGCUAUGACAAAGACUGGCCAGAACAGACUCUCUGGCACAGAAUCAUAGAAUAUUCUGUCUGAAGAUUUCGGGUGUUUCAUUAAAUACGAAGCCUGGCCCAUGUAAGCUAGGAGAAGACAAGGAAAUACUACGCAAGAGAAUGCAAUCUGUAUUGCUUUUACAGAAAAAUGCCCCAGAUCAGCAAACAUUGCUUCAGCUCCUGUGAUGCACAGAACACAACCACCAAGAGCUGACCAUGCGUCUAAGCUGUUUUUCUUGAAGAAAAGAUAGAUAUAAGCAGGAUUGAAUGCCCUCAAGACACUAAUAUCAUGAGUCACUAUAUUGUAAAGUCCAAUAGAAGCCAAAGAGAAGAACCACAAAGCGAGCACAGGAGCAAACAGGAAACUCACUUUCCCAGUCCCAAACUGUUGGAUGCUGAACAAAGCCACAAGCACUAUGAUCGAGACAACAACCAGUGCAGUUGUGCCAAAUCCAGGUAUUUCACCCUGCAGACCACUCAUAGCAGACAUCACUGAUAUGGCAGGAGUUAGAAUACCAUCUCCUAUAACCAUGGAAGUUCCCAUCAGAACCAACAGCAAAAGAAUUGUUUUCAGGAAUGACUUCUUCUCCAAAGCGUCUUUUAUGCUUAAAGCCCUUUCCAACUCCGGAGUGGGCAGCUUGAGCCUAAAACUUGAGAUAAGUUCAUCAGCUGGCUGACGAUUUGGCAGCAUACUAACCUUUGCAUAUCUGCUAAUCAGCGAGUACAGAGCAAAUGUUCCUCCUUCCCCAUUAUCAUUUGCUUUAAGCACUACAAAUACAUAUUUUGCUAAAGGAAUGAGAGCAAUUGUGUACAUUACUAGUGAUAAGGCCCCCAAGAUAUCAACUUUUAACUCAAUGGUCACCUUACUGAAUACAUCAGCAAAAUCAUAUAAAGGGCUUGUGCCCAGGUCACUAUACAACACUUCCAGUGUUUGAAAGGCAAAUGCAAGAGUGGUCCAAGUGGAGAGUUCCUAAAGCAUUAAAGAAAUAGAGUUGUGAAAGACACCAAAUUUCAUCGAAACUAAUUUUAUCAAUCUUAGUUUUGAAUGCCAGCACACCCUUCUGAAUGCCUUGUACUUAUAAUUGGGACUAAUGCAACCUCUUCACAUUUCAACUGUUUUUCAGCGAAGCACUGUCAACAUGGAAUGCUAAUGCCAUGUGUAUAAAUCACCUAAAAUAUUAUCCACACCAUAACAUAAGACAACGAAAUAUUUAAGUUUCAAAUUUUAACGUUGUUGCUUAACCUGUAUACAAUCUUCAACUACUGAAAUUCCCAAUGCCCAGUUGAUGACACCACAUCCUACCAAAUGCUCGCUAAAAUAAAUGAAGAAUUAAACCAUGCCAAACUUUGUAGAUUGCAUAACAUGGUCAAGACCUGCUAAGCAAAACCAGGCUAGUUUGAAUGCUCUUUCCCACUUGUAAGUCUUUUACACUACGCAUUCCAGCUACACUCAAAUCAUACAAAAGGAUAUCAAAUUCGCAAAGAGUAGGUAACGGAGUUUAUGUGAGUUCCAAUUCUUUGUAUCUCAAUAUACUAAUGGAGGUUUUACCACCUUCACAAUUUGUCAGAAAAUUAGAAAUACAGAAUCUCAAAAGCAAAUCUACUUGCCCAUUUUUAAUUAUGAACUUCAAUUUUCAAAAAAAUUACCGUAACAACUCAAUGAAAUACAUAAAUUCAAGGUAAAAGAUGAUACGAAGUGUUCAAUAUGUCAUAGAAAUACAAAAUCUAAAAGCAAAAAAACGAUGAUUACUAAUAUAGGUAUUUCCUUAGAGGGGUGAACUUGAGCAGCAGCAAUCUACAUGGU